CAGCCGCCGCGGGAAUACGUAGGGUGCGAGCGUUAAUCGGAAUUACUGGGCGUAAAGCGUGCGCAGGCGGUUCGUUAAGACAGAUGUGAAAUCCCCGGGCUUAACCUGGGAACUGCAUUUGUGACUGACGGGCUAGAGUAUGGCAGAGGGGGGUAGAAUUCCACGUGUAGCAGUGAAAUGCGUAGAGAUGUGGAGGAAUACCGAUGGCGAAGGCAGCCCCCUGGGCCAAUACUGACGCUCAUGCACGAAAGCGUGGGGAGCAAACAGGAUUAGAUACCCCAGUAGUCCCUGUCUCUUAUAA
rnacentral:rRNA from 1 species